rnacentral:rRNA from 1 species
ACCGAAUAGAUACCCUGGUAGUCCACGCCGUAAACUAUGAACGCUAGCCGUUGGCGAGCUUGCUCGUCAGUGGCGCAGCUAACGCAUUAAGCGUUCCGCCUGGGGAGUACGGCCGCAAGGUUGAAACUCAAAGAAAUUGACGGGGGCCCGCACAAGCGGUGGAGCAUGUGGUUUAAUUCGACGCAACGCGCAGAACCUUACCAGGGUUUGACAUCCCGAGACCGCUGCUGAAAGGCAGUUUCCCGCAAGGGCUCGGAGACAGGUGCUGCAUGGCUGUCGUCAGCUCGUGUCGUGAGAUGUUGGGUUAAGUCCCGCAACGAGCGCAACCCUCGCCUUUAGUUGCCAUCAUUAAGUUGGGCACUCUAGAGGGACCGCCGGCGACAAGCCGGAGGAAGGUGGGGAUGACGUCAAGUCCUCAUGGCCCUUACACCCUGGGCUACACACGUGCUACAAUGGCGGUGACAGUGAGCAGCUAACUCGCGAGAGUAUGCUAAUCUCCAAAAACCGGUCCCAGUUCAGAUUGCAC